AGUGAACGCUGGCGGUAGGCCUAACACAUGCAAGUCGAACGGCAGCACAGUAAGAGCUUGCUCUUACGGGUGGCGAGUGGCGGACGGGUGAGGAAUACAUCGGAAUCUACUUUUUCGUGGGGGAUAACGUAGGGAAACUUACGCUAAUACCGCAUACGACCUACGGGUGAAAGCAGGGGAUCUUCGGACCUUGCGCGAUUGAAUGAGCCGAUGUCGGAUUAGCUAGUUGGCGGGGUAAAGGCCCACCGAGGCGACGAUCCGUAGCUGGUCUGAGAGGAUGAUCAGCCACACUGGAACUGAGACACGGUCCAGACUCCUACGGGAGGCAGCAGUGGGGAAUAUUGGACAAUGGGCGCAAGCCUGAUCCAGCCAUACCGCGUGGGUGAAGAAGGCCUUCGGGUUGUAAAGCCCUUUUGUUGGGAAAGAAAAGCAGCAGGUUAAUACCCCGCUGUUCUGACGGUACCCAAAGAAUAAGCGCCGGCUAACUUCGUG
rnacentral:rRNA from 1 species